UACGGAGGGUGCGAGCGUUGUUCGGAAUUACUGGGCGUAAAGCGCACGUAGGCGGCUUUGUAAGUUAGAGGUGAAAGCCCAGGGCUUAACCCUGGAAUUGCCUUUAAGACUGCAUCGCUAGAAUCGUGGAGAGGUGAGUGGAAUUCCGAGUGUAGAGGUGAAAUUCGUAGAUAUUCGGAAGAACACCAGUGGCGAAGGCGACUCACUGGACACGUAUUGACGCUGAGGUGCGAAAGCGUGGGGAGCAAACAGG
rnacentral:rRNA from 1 species